AGCAGCCGCGGUAAUUCCAGUUCCAAUAGCGUAUAUUAAAGUUGUUGCAGUUAAAAAGCUCGUAGUUGAAUUUCGGGAUUAGUACGUUGGUCGUGCCUUCGGUACGUACUGGUGUUACUGAUUCCUACCUUCUGACGAACCAUCAUGUCAUUAAUUUGGUGUGGUGGGGAAUCAGGACUGUUACUUUGAAAAAAUUAGAGUGUUUAAAGCAGGCUCGCGCUUGAAUACAUUAGCAUGGAAUAAUGAAAUAGGACGUUGUCCCUAUUUUGUUGGUUUCUAGGAUUGACGUAAUGAUUAAUAGGGAUAGUUGGGGGCAUUAGUAUUCAAUUGUCAGAGGUGAAAUUCUUGGAUUUAUUGAAGACUAACUACUGCGAAAGCAUUUGCCAAGGAUGUUUUCAUUAAUCAAGAACGAAAGUUAGGGGAUCGAAGACGAUCAGAUACCGUCGUAGUCUUAACCAUAAACUAUGCCGACUAGGGAUCGGAUGAUGUUAUUUUUAAUGACUCA
rnacentral:rRNA from 1 species